UGCGGGAGGAGUCACCUCUCGUAAAACCUACCCUCAGCAGGUUGUAAACAUAAUACCACACACUCAUAAGAGAAGAAGAAGAUCCCCCUUUUCAAUAUGGCCCCCAACACAGUAAGCCUGGCUUCUUUGUCCACAGUGUCUUGGAAAAGUGUGUAUUGCGCUUCGCAGCAGAACACGCCGCUAGCUUAAGUUGUCUGUUAGUGUCUGUGUAAGUGUGUGUGUUUGGGGAGUUUCAGGAUCAAACCCUCGACAUGUCGACAGAGGCUGAGGAGACGACCGCUGACAGGUGCUUCCUGCAGCAACGCAGCAGUUUCUAGGGACUCCCUUGGUGUAGGGGUGUAGGCCUAUGCUGGCCCCAAGAAGCUGCUGAAAGAACAUGGUGAAGAUGUUUGGACCUCAUGGGUAUAAAAACUUCAACACGGUGGAACAGCCAAUCGCUGACACCGCUGCUACCAAAACAACAUCUGUCUUAAUAUACCCUCAACACCACCACCACCAUUCCCCCUGGGCUAUGACGCCAUAUCUCCCAAAUGGCAACAGAAGUCAUGAC